rnacentral:rRNA from 1 species
UACGAGUGGUGCAAGCGUUAUUCGGAAUCAUUGGGCGUAAAGGGUGUGUAGACGGCUUAUUAAGUCAACUGUUAAAUUCUCCGGCCUAACCGGAGGCCAGCAGUAGAAACUGAUGAGCUAGAGGGUGGAAGAGAGAAGCGGAAUUCUCGGAGUAGCGGUAAAAUGCGUAGAUCUCGAGAGGAACACCAAUGGCGAAGGCAGCUUCUUGGUCCAUUUCUGACGUUGAAACACGAAAGCGUGGGGAGCAAACAGG